CCAGACUCCUACGGGAGGCAGCAGUGGGGAAUAUUGGGCAAUGGAGGCAACUCUGACCCAGCAACGCCGCGUGAGUGAUGAAGGUCUUCGGAUUGUAAAACUCUUUAAGUGGGGACGAAGAAAGUGACUGUACCCACAGAAUAAGCCUCGGCUAACUACGUGCCAGCAGCCGCGGUAAUACGUAGGAGGCAAGCGUUAUCCGGAAUGACUGGGCGUAAAGGGUGCGUAGGUGGUUUGACAAGUUAGUAGCGUAAUUCCGGGGCUCAACUUCGGAACUACUACUAAAACUGUUGGGCUUGAGUGCAGGAGAGGUGAAUGGAAUUCCUAGUGUAGCGGUGGAAUGCGUAGAUAUUAGGAGGAACACCAGCGGCGAAAGCGAUUCACUGGACUGUAACUGACACUGAGGCACGAAAGCGUGGGGAGCAAACAGGAUUAGAUACCCCAGUAUA
rnacentral:rRNA from 1 species